UCCGAAUCUUGUGGCCUUUCUUUAAACUUAAUAUUUGCAAAUCAUGCCAUUCAAUUCAAUAAGAGAAGUCUUUCUUGGAGAGUGGCAUUUUCUAUUAGAAAGAAUAUCCUGAACUUCCAAAUGGACUUUAGGUUUCAUCUGUGACCUGUGUAUUAUAGUUCAGCCUCCAUGUGCAUCCUGCAAAUUAUGAGGCUCUCCGGAGACAUGGUGGAAAUUUGCCCAGAGCAGCUGCUGGUCAUUGCCUGUACUGUGCAUGGUGUUCCUUGGAGGCCCUGAUUUUCAAUGUAAUCAAACAAAACAAUGAUGAAAUCACGAUCAGCA
rnacentral:lncRNA from 1 species